AUCCCUUGUUGGGCAGGGGACAAACCCUUAUCACCAUGCAAGCCUGGGACAGCUAGCAGGGAUCCAGAACUUUGCUAUUCAGAAGCCCACAUUCAUAGAGUUGUAUGCUGAGCUCACCAUUGUCCUGCAGCACAGAAAUACCAAGGGGAGACCUGAGCAAUCGCCAUAUGGAAGCAUGCAACCACAGAUUGCUACCAAUCAGUGGGUAAACUAUUUGGCAUUGGAAAAAGAUCAACAGUGGAGAAAAUCUUCCUCAAGUUGUGCAAGGCACUAGUGUGUGUCCUGCCCCCCUGCAUUGCCUGUUCAUGAAAUCAUACAUCAGUAAGCUGGAUAGAAGCAAGUUAACCCUUUCCUUCCACAUGAGGUCUUAAUUCAUGUCGCGACAGAGAAGGAAACAUCCACAGAAAGAUCCACCCUAAAGGUUGUCCUCACUUUCCGUAUUGGAUGUGGCAUAUAAUAUUUGAGGCACAGAGGGGUUUUCAAAAUCACUAAUAUAGUCAAGAGUGUGAAUCCAAAUUUCUCCAACCCCCCCGCCCCCGCCAGUGACAUCAGAGAGAACAUCUCUGUUGCUGAGGCCAGGGUGUAUCUGUGGGAAAGAAAAAGCCCCCUCUGCAAUAGUGAUUGUAUAUGAAACCAUCAGGUAAGUGACAAAACACACCACAGAAAUCCAGCUGCCAUAAUCAAGUAACAACUGCUGGGUCUCUUCUUUACCUUCCCAUCACCAGCUGGGAGUCUCAUGGUCUGUUUGGAUCUAAAGAAAAGGCGGAAGAACAUUUCACUUUUCUGGUGUCCCAGCAUAGCUUCUCUUGGGACACUGUCUGAGCUGCUGCCUACAUAAUCCACAGAAUGGCUCCAGGCUAUGCCUUCAGCCAGGACUGGGAAGCUGCAAAUACAAUCUAAAGUCUAACUACUGACCAUGGAGUUGUUGUUUUAAAGCACAUUCAGGUCCUGCUCUAAAGUAUCUGCCAUUAUUUAAAAGUUUGACUGGGAUGAAAAUUGAUA